CGCCGCCCGGUGCCCCCGCCCCGUUCACCAGCCCCUCGGCCGGGACCUCCGCGGGUCGCGACUCUCGGGGGGCCUCGGCCCCGCCGUCCUUGGAGGCGCGGCCCGCGACCGCGUUCCUGGAGGCCACCCCCGGGGCCGCCCCGUCUGCGCGGUCUGCGGCCUCCUUGGGCUCCUGGGGCCCCUCGGCCCCGUGACCGCGCAGCCGCUGCGCCAGGCCUCCGGCGUCCAGGUCGUCGGGCGGGCUGGGCUGGGCGCUGCCCACGCGGUACGUGCCGGCGCCGCCGCCGCCCUCCAGUUGUACCAGCUGCAGCUCCUGCCCGGUGCAGAAGGCGCGGAUCUGGCACAGGUACGUCAUGACGAUGAGCUUGUCGGGCACCGACAGUAGCACCAUGUCCGCGGGCUCCAGCAGCCGCGACACGCCCAGAGCCGCGAAGCCAUCGAAGGCCUGCUUGUUGUUCUGCUUGAUGUUGAGUGGGUCUAGCGAGGCAUAGUCAAUCUUGUCUGGGUAGAAUCGGUGCAGGAUGGCACAGAAGGCCAAGCCGUUGCGCCAGGAUGUGGUGAAGUUGGUGAUGCGGACGCCACGGUAGCCAGUGGUGACUUCCUGGCACCACUCCAGCAGGGACUGGCUGGAGCUGACCAGGGCAGGUGGUGCCUGAGGACACAGGGGUGGGCUUAGGGAAUGUAUAAAUGGGAUGUAUGCCCUCUGCCUCUUG
rnacentral:lncRNA from 1 species